rnacentral:rRNA from 1 species
CGCGUAGGCGGGUCUGUAAGUCAGAGGUGAAAUCCUGCGGCUUAACCGCAGAACUGCCUUUGAUACUGCAGAUCUUGAGUUCGGGAAGGGAGAGGCGGAAUUCCAGGUGUAGUGGUGAAAUACGUAGAUAUCUGGAAGAACACCAGAGGCGAAGGCGGUCUCUUGGUCCGUAACUGACGCUGAGGCGCGAAAGCGUGGGGAGCAAACA